GAGGUACCUCCAGCGGUACCUCGAGUUAAGGGAGUCUUGCCACGACCUAACGGAGGCAUGCAACGACAAAAGGGAGCGGUGCAUCGGCUGAUAGAGGUACCGGGAGUUUAAGGGAGAGGUGCCACGGCUGUUAAGGGAGCCGGAGUUUAAGGGAGAGGUGCCACGGCUGUUAACGUAGCGGGAGUUUAAGGGAGAGGUGCCACGGCUGUUAACGUAGCGUUGCUAACCUCUGCUUUACACAGCUUCCUGUUUGACGUGAGCUGACAGCUGUCUGGUGCGCUCUCCCUCGGCCUGGACCUCGUUCUCUGCUCACUGGGCUUCACCGUUGCCGGCCAAACGCCCGUAUUCUUCUGUUUGUGUUUGUGUUCAUUAAAACACUUUACGUUC
ensembl:lncRNA